rnacentral:lncRNA from 1 species
CCUUGCCUCUCUGGUGCUCCAGUUUCCCAGUGGAACCCCUAUCCCACAAGAUCAUAGCAGGGAUCACAAAGGGUUUUCAGAUCCAGAAAUCUCAGUAUUUAGAAAUAUUGCUUCUGAAACACCAGAAGUACAAUCCAGUGUAUCAUAAAAACUAUAAAGUAUGUCCUAAGGACAUAGUGAACCAUCUGAGACAAUGGUGCAUUGGAAGCAUCAGUAGGAAACCUCAGUGGAUGCUUAGUAACUAAAGAUAUCGAUGAAAUAAUUUAAUGAUAUCUACAGCUAGCAUAAGAAGCACAAGAAGCUGCAACAAGGCUAUUUUUUCCAUGAGAAUGCCACCCCAAUUCCUUCUACCAACCCACUUUAUGAAGAGGAGUGAUUUGGCAGAUCUCUUGAAAAAAGAGACUAAACAACUCCUGAGUCGUAUUGCCAUGGAGAUACAAACACAAACAGAGCACCUCCUGCUGCUUACACAAGCUCCAAGGCACCAUACACCAAGAGAUGUAACAGACCCAGGAGCUCAGGGAUGCCUGGUGGUUCUGCUGAGCUGGCACACAGCACAUGGGGGCACCACUCUCAGCUCUGCAUCCCCUUCCAUCAGCAGCUUGGUGUGGCUGUCCUCCAGCAAGCACAAGGCUUGAGUGUCAUCAUGCUAGCAGCUGGACUGACAAAAUCAGAUGCAGAGUGUAUGCAGUGUUUACUGAGAGCUGGAAGGUUAUAUGUCAAAUCUGAAAUUUCAGGUGACAGUGAAGUCCCCUCCCCAUGGAUACAUGGAUGUAAUGGAUACAAAGAAACAGGAUCUGAGCAGAAAUACAGCCAGAAACAGAAAACAGACAUGAACUGGGAACCAAUGGAAAAUCCACAGAUACCCAGAGAAUGGAUACUAGUAUGUUCCAAGCAGUUCACCCGCAAGCAGCUUUACCCACAGGGGCACACCAAGAAGCAUCCACACCCUUUCCAGUUCAAUCUGUCAUACGGCACACCAGAGCUCAGCUGCAUGACUAUAACACAGCUUACCUCAACUAAGCUGGCAGGCCGUGCCUGUCUAAUUAUAUACCUUUAACCAGCAGCAAACACAAGUUAAUUCAAAUUUCUUCAAAGAAAUCAGAUAAAGCCAAAUGAAAUUACAUUCCAUUUACCACAUGAGUGCACACAUCACCCAUUGCCACCACUAAACCCAUCAGCGUAACUCAUAGAAACUUGACUCCUCUGAAGACAGGUGUUCAACACUGCUAAAAGGUUUGAUUCUUUAGAGACUUCAGACAAACCCAAAUCCCCUCCAUUCAUCCCGCAGACCCCACCAGCUUUCUCUCUCUUUUUCCUGGAUGUCCCCAUAUCCACCUUUUUUCUAUGUCCCAUUUCUUCUCUCACUACUAUUCAUCCCCUACCCUACUAAUUCCCACUUUUCUGGUCUGUUGGGAUGGAGAAAUAGCAUGUGCCACUUGGCCAUUAGGAGUAAAGGAAGAUGACACAGAGAACAAGUAGGUCUGACCCAGGACAGCAUAACGAGACUCCUGAGCAGCUGUAGUGCACCUUUGGUUUGUGCAGCAGGCACUCAAGGGAUGUCUCUACCACCAGUGGGUCACAUACACAACCCAGACAGUCUAAAGAUAGUUUUUUUCCAACUAAUCUACUCUGGAGGUGUAAAAUGUACAUGUAAUUACAAUCAGAUGUUGAUAAAAAGUUUUAUAUAUGUCCAAUACCAUUAUAGUGAAAGGACCCAGGCUUCAGGUUUGGAUACCUGCUGAACUGGAGCCUUCUUGAACAGAGAUAAAAUUUGCAGUCUAAUUUGGUAAAUGCUUGUUUAAAUUGUAUGUAGUUACAGUGAUGUACAAAGGGCAAUAAAAUUAAUUUCCCUAUUUAACA